UACGGAGGGUGCAAGCGUUAUCCGGAUUCACUGGGGUUAAAGGGUGCGUAGGUGGGUUGGUAAGUCAGUGGUGAAAUCUCCAGGCUUAACUUGGAAACUGCCAUUGAUACUAUCAAUCUUGAAUGCCGUGGAGGUCAGCGGAAUAUGUCAUGUAGCGGUGAAAUGCUUAGAUAUGACAUAGAACACCAAUUGCGAAGGCAGCUGGCUACACGAAUAUUGACACUGAUGCACGAAAGCGUGGGGAUCAAACAGG
rnacentral:rRNA from 1 species